ACGCCCUUCUUCUGCAGUGAAACGUCUGACUGUGCUACGGUUGAAUUUUAAUACCGAAAGUGUCCCACGGUGCGUCGGUACGCCGCUGAAAUGGCUGCUGCGGCGACGGAAGAAACACCCGCUCUGCCGGCUGAGAAUGAUGCACCGCCAGUAGUGAAAGAUGAGGGCAACGAAGAAAGGGCAGUGGGUAGUGAAGAAAAAGAAGAGGGCCUCACCGAACCGGAAACAGAGAAGCCAUCAGGCAGUAGGGUAGAACCGAAAAUGGAAGAGGUGGACGCGGAGGCCGGUGAAGAGAAGCCCGCUGCAGCUGCAGACAAGGCCGCCAGCGAGGCGGUUGGGACGGACAGCGGGGCUCUGCCGGUCGAGCCGGAGGCGACAGCCGCUGCGGAAGACCAGGAGCUAGAACCGGAGCCGGAAUCCCAGGAAAGCGAGGGGGACUGCAUAACCGAACCGUCCAACAAUACCACCAUUAAAGAAGCGAAGGAGGAACCAGGAGAGGACAGUCGGUGUUCGGGGACGGAAUGCGAGAAGAGUAAAACAGUUUGUGAGGAUGUGAAGAAACCCACCGGUGGCGGGGACGGGGAGCUGGGCGACAAGAGGCGGCCGAGCGUGGAGAUAUCAUCCUCGGAUGGGGAACCGCUGAGUCGUAUGGACUCGGAAGACAGUAUCAGCAGUACCCUGAUGGAGAUGGAGAGCACGGUAUCCAGCGGGCGCUCCACCCCUGCUAUGAUGAAUGGGCAGAGCAUUCCCAGCUCUUCCGGGUCGAAAACAGUGGCUUACACCUGCUGCUGGGACCUCUGUCCACAGUGCUUCAACUCCAGUCCUGACCUCGCAGAGCACAUCAGAGGGAUCCACGUUGAUGGGCAGAGAGGAGGGGUUUUUGUGUGUCUAUGGAAGGGUUGUAAGGUGUAUAACACACCGUCCACCAGUCAAAGUUGGCUUCAGCGACACAUGUUAACCCACAGUGGAGAUAAACCCUUCAAGUGUGUCGUUGGAGGUUGCAACGCCAGCUUUGCUUCCCAAGGAGGGUUAGCUCGCCAUGUCCCCAGCCACUUCAGCCAGCAGAGCUCCUCCAAAAUGUCAGGCCAAGCCAAACUCAAAGAGGAGUCACCCUCCAAGGCCAGUCUCAAUAAGAGGAGGAAGCUCAAGAACAAACGCAGGUGCUCACUACCAAGGCCUCAUGACUUCUUCGAUGCCCAAACCAUGGACGCUAUCCGGCAUAGGGCAAUCUGUCUCAACGUCUCCACCCACAUAGAAAGUGUGGGGAAUGGCCACAGUGUGGUCUUCAACAGCACGGUUCUUGCCAAAAGGAAAGAGGGAUCCGGCAAGGUGAAGGUCCUCCUACAUUGGACACCUGAGGACAUACUACCUGACGUGUGGGUGAAUGAAACGGAGCGGUCUGGGCUGAAGACCAAAGUGGUGCACUUGUCCCAGUUACCGCACGACACAGCCAUGCAGCUUGACCCCAACAUCUACAGAGCACUUCCUCAGAAACGUCUGAAACGCAGUAUUACCCGUGGCCCUGGCUCUGCGUUGUGGUGAGACUUCAUUGUAGAUGAUUACUCAUCGCCCACGGUGUCACUGUUCCUGUGUACUGUGAAGCUAAUUAAUUGGGAAAUGGGCCAUUUUGGAGCCACAACCCUUGGCAUCGCCUGUUUUCACUUAUGCACGAGCCUGUAAGGACUCCUCUGUGGACUUGAUACUUAAGGAGAAGCUUGUUCAUAGGAAGGUAUCUAUAUGGGAUGGGACGCUCUUCAUCUGUCUCUGCUGAACAGGGGGAUUAAAGGAAGUAUAACUUGGCAAUGCUGCAGUUCUCCUACUCUUCCCUUUUUGAAUUUUGUAUAUCUGAAAUGACUGUCGUAGCCGAGGGUGACGUAAUCGCUGACAACACUUUUUUCUAAAGUUUGUGUUUAUCAACAACUUAAAUGAAUGUGUUUUUUUUAAAGCAUCAAACUGAAAUAAUACUUAAUACCCAAUGUUGUAAAAACUGUUUUGUGUAACUUGUCAGAAAAAUAACGCAUAUUUUAUAACUGUUUUGUGUAAAAUAUUUAUGCAGAUUUUUAACUUAUUUUUAUACCAUUGUGUAAUGUGGGUUUUGUGAAGGUUCUAAUAGAACCGUAUUUACUGUGACAAUCUUUGUUUGGGAUAUAUGGACAUCUCUAGUUGUAAAUAUGGUGUACACAUCUUAAGUCGUAACAAAUUAUUUAUACUCGCUGAAGGCCGUACUUUUUACCUAUGUGUAUGACAAUUGGAGUAAGCGCUUGUACUAGUCGUGUCAGCCGUGCAUUUAAUGCAAAAACACAAGUUCACAGGAGCAAUACCUCAGUAGUUACAGACACUGCAGUGCAGCUCUUAAUCUUAUCCAGCCUGAAGACAGGACAGCAUGUCACAUGACUGAUAAUACAGCAUUCUUAAAAAACCUGUACCCCAACCCCCUUUCUUAAAAGUAACAUGAAUUGUCUUUAUCAUAGUUGUUAUGAUAACUUUACAUUAUUGCUUUUUUAUUUUUAAACAGUUUUUUUCUAUAUGAUCUUGUCCCUGUUGGAAAUGGAAUACUGUGUUUGUAAUAAAUGGGAGAAGAAACUACA